UACCUCGUUUUGACCGAUUUUUAUUCACUGUUUUUCACCACUCGGAGUCACUCUUCACUUUAGUCUUGUCCCCUUUGUCCUGUUCGGCUGUUCUCAUCUGUAUAAAUCUUCAGUCCGUUGUGUUGCCACGACUUUACGCCGGUGGUGCGUACUGUAUAAAUCUGCGUACCCCUAUACGUUUUUCUUCUUCUUCUUCUUCAGCUUCAUUUUGCUUUGGAUAGUUACACACUUAUAGAGUUAUAGUUAUACUAUAUACGCCCCAGAGUUUCUUUUAUCUCAACGGUUUAGCUUUGUAGUGUAUGCACUUUAAUGGGGGGUGAGAGGGUGGGUGAGUCUUGGUUUGGUAGUUUGAGGUGGAUUUCGCGGAAGAGUUCGUCGGACACUAACAAGGGGGCGAUUGAAAUUUUGGCAUAUGAAGUUGCUAGCUUGAUGUUAAAGGUGGUUAAUUUAUGGCAUUCUUUGAAUGACAAGGAGGUUCCUAUGUUGAGGGAAGAGAUUGUGAACUUGGUUGGGCUUCAAAAGCUGAUAUCCGAAGAUGAUGAUUACUUGAUGGAACUUGCAUUGAAUGAGAUAAUUGAGAAUUUCAUAUUUCUGGCAAGGUCUGUGGCCAGGUUUGGGAAGAAGUGUAGAGAUCCUGUGUACCACCGUUUUGAACAAUUUGUUAAUGACCCAAUUCAGAAUAGUUUUCAAUGGGUAGGCUGGGAAUAUAAAUGGCAGAAGAUGGAGAGGAAAGUAAAGAAAAUGGAGAGAUUUGUUGCUGCCGUGUCACAAUUGUCACAAGAGCUUGAGGUGCUGGCAGAUCUUGAACAAACUCUAAGGAGAAUGCAGAAUUCUGAGUCAAAUCAGAUAAAAGUGCUUGAGUUUCAGCAGAAGGUAAUCUGUCAGCGUCAGGAAGUGAGAAAUCUGAGGGACAUGUCUCCAUGGAAUAGAACUUAUGAUUACAUUGUCCGGCUUCUGGUGCGAUCACUUUUUACAAUACUAGAGAGGAUAAAACAUGUCUUUGGAACUUGCCCAGUGUCAUGUAUAGACGGAAGCAUUGAUUCUCAGCUUAGGAAUAUCGAAUUUUUUCCUCGUUGCCGUUCCUCUUCUGGUCUUAUGCACUAUUCCAAUCAUCCAUCUGAGAAUAAUCCGUUUGGGUUCUACUCAGGACCCAUUGAGAGGCCAGCUUCAAAGCCAGGAAAUGCCGACAAGAGUAGAAGAAAGGACAAGCAACGACAAGAUCGUCAUCAGUCAUCAACCAUAUGUGGAAACCACCUGAAUAUGGAAACCAAACGGUUAGGUCAUAUUGGGCCUUUCAUAGGGUGCAUGGUUGGUGGAAACGAAUCUCCUUUUCUGUCAAGCUGCAAGCCCACUGGUGGUGGUUCUAUGAGGUUGACUGGAGUUCGUAUGAAGAAUGGUUACAAAACAGAUAACAAAAAUAUGGAAUCUGUCUCUUGCAGUGACAGGAUCUAUUGUAAAUUAUCCUUUGUCAACUCUAAGUGUAAGUUGUGGAUUGCACCUCCAUCUACUCUUGGCCAUGCUGCUUUAGCUCUCCACUAUGCAAAUGUGAUUAUAUUGAUUGAAAAACUAAUUUUGUCACCUCACUUAAUUGGCCUUGACACAAGAGAUGACCUGUACAAUAUGUUACCCACAACUAUAAGAAAGGCUCUGAGGGCGAGGCUAAAGUCCUAUACCAAAACCAUGGCUUCAACAGUCUAUGAUGCUGCCCUAGCAGCAGAGUGGAGUCUGGCACUAGUGCGGAUAUUGGAUUGGCUCGCUCCACUUGCUCAUAAUAUGGUAAGGUGGCAUUCUGAGCGGAAUUUUGAGAAGCAGCAAGCAUAUUGCAGAACAAAUGUGCUACUGGUCCAGACCCUUUACUUUGCAAAUCAAGCUAAAACUGAAGCUGCAAUUACCGAACUUCUUGUAGGCCUGAACUAUAUAUGCAGGAUUGGUAGAGAAGUUAAUGACAAAGACUUGCAUGAGUCUUCUGGCAGCAGUGCUUGUAGUGAUAAUAUGUUGAAAAGUGAUGGCAUUGCUUAUGAUGUUUUAUGAACUACAUCAGACUUCUUGUAGUUGUUGUAAAAUGUACAUGAUUGGUAUGGAGGAGUGUUCUGUUCAAAUGGGAUGUGGUACCAGACAGCGCUUCCCGGAGAUUACAGUUAUUUUUCAGAGCAGCAAAGGCAUUCCUCAAUUAUUGAGCUUUACUUUGCAUGACAUGUUUGGUUACACAACUUUGUCUUUUGAAGCCAUAGAUCAACUCAAAGUUCACCCUGCUAGUAAGGCUCCCUUACCUGAUAUCUGCUUCAUUGAAGGCAAUGGCUCCUCCCUAAAAUCCCUGUUCUUUCCGAAUGUAUAGAUUUACCUGAACUUGUUUGUUUCUGGGCUUUGGGUUCCCCAUGAAGUUGUGCCUUUUGUGGAAGUAGUGCUGGAAAAGCAGGAUGUAACUGUUUGUCUUCUUUCACCACAUCAUUAUUGUUUUGUUAACAGUUUGCUAGAAAAGCUUCCAUUUGUAUUGCUGCUUGUAGAUUUUGUCUUAGAAAGAAGGAUAACUGAAGCAUAAGCACAUUCAAUAUU